GACGAACGCUGGCGGCGCGCUUAACACAUGCAAGUCGAGCGAUAACCAUGGCUUCGGCCAUGGGGAGAGCGGCGAACGGGUGAGUAACACGUGAGCGAUCUGCCCUCGACACCGGGAUAGCCCGGGGAAACCCGGAUUAAUACCGGAUGGCCUCUCGAGCCCACGGGCUCGUUAGAAAAGAUGGCUUCGGCGUUCGGUCGAGGAGGAGCUUGCGGCGGAUUAGCUUGGUGGUGGGGUAACGGCUCACCAAGGCGACGAUCCGUAGCUGGUCUGGGAGGAAGAGCGGCCACACUGGAACUGCGAAAGGGCCCAGACUCCUACGGGAGGCAGGAGUGGGGAAUCUUGCGCACGGGGCGAAAGCCUGACUCAGCGACGCGGCGUGAGGGAAGAAGGCCUUCGGGUUGUAAACCUCUUUCAGGAGGGACGAAGCCACUCGGGUUAAUACCCCCGAGGGUGACGGUACCGCCAGAAGAAGCCCCGGCUAACUACGUGCCAGCAGCCGCCGUAAGAC
rnacentral:rRNA from 1 species